AGUGAACGCUGGCGGUAGGCCUAACACAUGCAAGUCGAACGGCAGCACAGUAAGAGCUUGCUCUUACGGGUGGCGAGUGGCGGACGGGUGAGGAAUGCAUCGGAAUCUACUUUUUCGUGGGGGAUAACGUAGGGAAACUUACGCUAAUACCGCAUACGACCUACGGGUGAAAGCAGGGGAUCUUCGGACCUUGCGCGAUUGAAUGAGCCGAUGUCGGAUUAGCUAGUUGGCGGGGUAAAGGCCCACCAAGGCGACGAUCCGUAGCUGGUCUGAGAGGAUGAUCAGCCACACUGGAACUGAGACACGGUCCAGACUCCUACGGGAGGCAGCAGUGGGGAAUAUUGGACAAUGGGCGAAAGCCUGAUCCAGCCAUACCGCGUGGGUGAAGAAGGCCUUCGGGUUGUAAAGCCCUUUUGUUGGGAAAGAAAAGCAGCAGGUUAAUACCCCGCUGUUCUGACGGUACCCAAAGAAUAAGCACCGGCUAACUUCGUG
rnacentral:rRNA from 1 species